UACGUAGGGCGCAAGCGUUGUCCGGAAUUAUUGGGCGUAAAGAGCUCGUAGGCGGUUUGUCGCGUCUGCCGUGAAAACCCGAGGCUUAACCUCGUGGCUUGCGGUGGAUACGGGCAGACUAGAGGUAGGUAGGGGAGAAUGGAAUUCCCGGUGUAGCGGUGAAAUGCGCAGAUAUCGGGAGGAACACCGGUGGCGAAGGCGAUUCUCUGGGCCUUACCUGACGCUGAGGAGCGAAAGCGUGGGGAGCGAACAGG
rnacentral:rRNA from 1 species